rnacentral:rRNA from 1 species
UUGGAGGGCAAGUCUGGUGCCAGCAGCCGCGGUAAUUCCAGCUCCGAUAGCGUAUAUUAAAGUUGUUGCAGUUAAAAAGCUCGUAGUUGAAUUUUAGACUUGAUCUCAUGGUCCAUCCAAUGGAUGAGUACUGUUUUGAUUGGGACUUCAUUUCUGAUAAACUUUUAUUCCCUUUAUUGGGUGUAAUAGGGAAGCAGGACCAUUACCUUGAAAAAAUUAGAGUGUUCAAAGCAGGCAAAAUUGCUCGAAUACAUUAGCAUGGAAUAAUAAAAUAGGACGGAUGAAUCUAUUUUGUUGGUUUCUAGGACCACCGUAAUGAUUAAUAGGGAUAGUUGGGGGCAUUAGUAUUCAAUUGUCAGAGGUGAAAUUCUUGGAUUUAUUGAAGACUAACUACUGCGAAAGCAUUUGCCAAGGAUGUUUUCAUUAAUCAAGAACGAAAGUUAGGGGAUCGAAGACGAUCAGAUACCGUCGUAGUCUUAACCAUAAACUAUGCCGACUAGGAAUCGGAAUUUGUUAUUAUAAUGACAAGUUCGGCGCCUUACGGGAAAC